rnacentral:RNase_P_RNA from 1 species
GAGGCAGGCCGGGCAAUCGCGGCGCCGCAAGGCGUCGAGGAAGGUCCGGACUCCGCAGAGCGGGAUAGCGGCUAACGGCCGUCCGGCAAGGCGCGCGCAAUCCGUUGCGGCGCCGAGCCGAGGAACAGGGCCACAGAGACGAGUCUGCGGCGAGGGCGCGCCUAGGCGCGCACCGGCAUGGCCACCUCCAUGCCGCGCGGUCGGGCAACCGGCCGCGGCGCUGCAGGGUGAAACGCGGCAACCUCUAUCCGGAGCAACAUCAAAUAGGCAUGCGUCCGGCCUUCGGGCCGAAAGGGUGGCUCGCCCGAGCAUGCGGGUAGAUGGCUAGAGCCCGGCAGCAAUGCCGGGCCCAGAGGAAUGAUUGCCCGCCAGGCUCGCCUGGCGUACAGAAUCCGGCCUACAGGCCUGUCUCACUU